rnacentral:rRNA from 1 species
UCAAAGGAAUUGACGGGGACCCGCACAAGUGGUGGAGCAUGUGGUUUAAUUCGAAGAUACACGAAGAACCUUACCUACCCUUGACAUGUCCGGAACUUGCCAGAGAUGGCUUGGUGCCCGAAAGGGAAUCGGAACACAGGUGCUGCAUGGCUGUCGUCAGCUCGUGUCGUGAGAUGUUGGGUUAAGUCCCGCAACGAGCGCAACCCUUAUCAUUAGUUGCUACGCAAGGGCACUCUAAUGAGACUACCGGUGACAAACCGGAGGAAGGUGGGGAUGACGUCAAGUCCUCAUGGCCCUUAUGGGUAGGGCUUCACACGUCAUACAAUGGUCGGUACAGAGGGUUGCCAAGCCGCGAGGCGGAGCCAAUCCCACAAAGCCGAUCGUAGUCCGGAUUGUUCUCUGCAACUCGAGAGCAUGAAGUCGGAAUCGCUAGUAAUCGCAGGUCAGCAUACUGCGGUGAAUACGUUCCCGGGUCUU